CAGUGCUCCGGCUGCCUAGAGUUAGAAUCGCCUUCAUCACUCACUUUUCUUUUCGAUAAAAAUUCAAUGGAAUCAAACUUUGUUUUCACUUUCAUUGUUUUUAUGUCUUUGUUUUGAAGUACCGGUUUUUACUUCUUUCGGAAAACAAUAUGUUUAAAAAAUAGAGGGCGAUGAAGAAGUUAUAUCAAGGUUCGCUCGUCGUACGUAAUGGCAAAAAAUUGCCUUGUCGAUUAUUUCUUGAUGCUAUGAGCCCUCUCUAUUUGUUAACGCACGUUUUCCCGUGUUUGUUUUUAUUUCGAUUUUUGACUUGAUGAUGAUGAAAACAUCAAAGGUUCGCUCGUCAUACAAGAUGGCUUAUUUGUCUUGUUGAUUCAUUCGUCUUGAUGAUCUGAAUCCUCUUUUAUCGACUUUUUUGCCUUAUGCCUCCACAAUUAAGGAAAUCAAAAUUGUCAAUCAAGUCCAUUUUUGCUGAGAAAAUGAUUUAGUAUAUAUUUUUAAUCUACGAGUCAAACUAAAAUGGGUAUGAAGUUUUUUUGUUGGCAGGUUAAGGUUUAAAAUUCAAGCCUUUACAAUUAAUUUGUAAGGUCUUCAAAGAUCACGUGUGGUAGACAUGCAAAGGCUAUUUUGGUGAUUUCCUUCUUUCUAGUCACAUCUCAUUUUUCUUUCAUAAAACAUUAAAAAAAUUUAUUUGAAAUUUUUUAACAUUUAUUAUUUUAAAUGUAUUUCAUAAUUAUUUUAAUUUUAUUUAAUAUAAAAUUUUUAACUAUUGAAUAACAUAAAUAGGUAAAUUAACUGUAAAAAACAUUAAAUGAAUUUUAUUUUAUUAAAAUUAAAAUAAAUUAUCUUUUUUAUUAAAAAAUUAAAAUAUUUAAAUUAGCAUAUUUAUUAAUCAGUUUUUUAAAGGUGGUGUGGCAGUUAGGGAUGUAAAAAUUUUAAACCAAGAGUUAGCUUGGGCGAUUUUGAAACUUAAAAAGAAAAUUUUUGCUGCUUGUUGCUAUACUCAAGCUUGAUUAGAGUGCAUAUUUGUAUGUGAUAUGGAGACAAAAGAACAAGAGGUAUUUUAACACAUCUUUCUUGACUAAAGAUGCUAUCUUUGGUGCAAAUUAAAGAGAUUGUGCGAGCUCGUUUAAGAGAAAGACCAAUCAAUAGAACUAAUCUUAUUAAUACUUCAUUUUGUACUUCUUAAAGUAUUAUCGGUUAAUUUGUUUGUAUAGCUUAAAAUUAUUGUACAAUUUUUUUUUUCUUUUGUAACAAUUUAACUGCUUUUUUGAAUUAAUGAAUUUCAUCAUUCAUUAAAAAAAAAUAUUGUUAUGGUAACAUAUUUUACAAAAGUUCAAUGGUUUUGGGAGAAACUAUAUAAUUUUAGAGAUGAAAUGAGUUGGUUAUCAAAAUUCAGCUCCCAAGGAUGAUUAAAGAAAAGAAAGAAAGUGAUGGUGGAAAGCAACAUCACAGAUGCACUAACUAGAGCAAGAGAAGUAUUACUACAUUUACAACAUACAUAAGUAGAGUUGGUGUCUGAAACCCCUUUACACGAGCACAUCGCUUCGGAAACAGAUGUAAUAUACAUCAGUAGCCUGCGCACGUUUGUUAUAUAUUCUCUUUCACUAGCUAUUACUAUUAGUAUUGAAGUUCAUUAACCCUCAGUUUUACCCAUCA